UACGUAGGUGACAAGCGUUGUCCGGAUUUACUGGGCGUAAAGAGCGCGCAGGCGGUCGUUCAAGUCGAGUGUGAAAGCCCCCGGCUCAACUGGGGAGGGUCACUCGAUACUGAUCGACUCGAAGGCAGGAGAGGGUAGUGGAAUUCCCGGUGUAGUGGUGAAAUGCGUAGAUAUCGGGAGGAACACCAGUGGCGAAGGCGACUACCUGGCCUGUUCUUGACGCUGAGGCGCGAAAGCUAGGGGAGCAACGGG
rnacentral:rRNA from 1 species